CUGGUCUGCUGGCGAUAUAAAUCUUUAGGAUAAAUCAAUUAUCAACGUAUUAGCCUCUAUUAGUAGGAUCCUUUACAUAGUCAGAUUAUCAAUUUAUAUCACUUUUGAAUCAAUUUUUUUCAUAAAUUAUGUUUCUUUUUCUAAUUCGAUAAAAUACACAUAAUCAUGUGGUAUCAAAAUUAAUUGAUAUAAUGCAUAAC
rnacentral:lncRNA from 1 species